GAUGAAGAACGUAGUGAAAUGCGAUAAGUAAUGCGAAUUGCAGAAUUCCGUGAGUCAUCGAAUCUUUGAACGCACAUUGCGCCCUCUGGUAUUCCGGAGGGCAUGCCUGUCUGAGCGUCAUUGUCAACCCUCAAGCUCAGCUUGCUGUUGGGUCCCCGUCGUUGCUUUAACGGCGGACCCGAAAGGUAAUGGCAGAGUCCGUGAGACCCUAGACGCAGCGAGCUUCUAGCACGCGUCUGGACGUUUUUCGGGCUCGGUCUUAACUAGAUGAUAACUUCCGAUUGACCUCAGAUCAGGUAGGGAUACCCGCUGAACUUAAGCAUAUCAAAGCGGAGGA
rnacentral:misc_RNA from 1 species